rnacentral:lncRNA from 1 species
AUGCCCUGACAAUUCCACACGAUGAUUUUCAUGGCGACCGUGGAGACCCAUUAAGGCUGGUCUCCACUACCAGAUUCAGUUCUUCCUCAAAAAGCAAACACUGUCGUACUUCACCUGUUGUUCUUGACAUCCUGGGAAACACACCUUGGUCUCCAUUGUGAUAUCCUGAUCAUAUCUAACACUUUCAUUGUUUUGCUCCCACAUGCUAUCUGGACCCUUCCUCUUUAACCUACCUUCAUCCCUAUAUUGUGUGCCAACUAUCAAGGCUCCCAAAUUGAAUGGGUCAAAAUUUUGGGUUAAGCUCCACUGAUUCCC